AAGACUAUACUUUCAGGGAUCAUUUCUAUAGUUUCAGACUUGAGAGAUGUGUUUCUAAAGUGCUUGGUCUUGCUAACCACGAUGAUGAGUCCUGGUAUUCCCUUCUGAGCGAGAAGCUGACGGAGAGCGAUGAUUAACUUCAUGUUCUCUGUCAUUGAUGUUUGUUCUGUAUUUCUCCAUGAAGUACAGAUGAAGGGAGUAUGAUCAGAGUGGU